rnacentral:rRNA from 1 species
UACGUAGGGUGCGAGCGUUAAUCGGAAUUACUGGGCGUAAAGCGUGCGCAGGCGGUGAUGUAAGACAGGUGUGAAAUCCCCGGGCUUAACCUGGGAACUGCGUCUGAUACUGGAUGGCUUGAGUUCGGGAGAGGGAUGCGGAAUUCCAGGUGUAGCGGUGAAAUGCGUAGAUAUCUGGAGGAACACCGGUGGCGAAGGCGGCAUCCUGGACCGACACUGACGCUGAGGAGCGAAAGCCAGGGGAGCAAACGGG